UUCCGGUUGAUCCUGCCGGAGGCCAUUGCUAUUGGGAUUCGAUUUAGCCAUGCUAGUCGCACGAGUUCAGACUCGUGGCGAAUAGCUCAGUAACACGUGGCCAAACUACCCUUCGGAGCACGAUACCCUCGGGAAACUGAGGUUAAUAGUGCAUACCACAAUCCAGCUGGAAUGAGGAUUGUGCCAAAUGCUCCGGCGCCGAAGGAUGUGGCUGCGGCCGAUUAGGUAGACGGUGGGGUAACGGCCCACCGUGCCAAUAAUCGGUACGGGUCAUGAGAGUGAGAACCCGGAGACGGAAUCUGAGACAAGAUUCCGGGCCCUACGGGGCGCAGCAGGCGCGAAACCUUUACACUGCACGCCAGUGCGAUAAGGGGAUCCCAAGUGCGUAGGCAUAGAGCCUACGCUUUUGUACACCGUAGGGAGGUGUACGAAUAAGGGCUGGGCAAGACCGGUGCCAGCCGCCGCGGUAAUACCGGCAGCCCAAGUGAUGGCCGAUUUUAUUGGGCCUAAAGCGUCCGUAGCUGGCCGCGCAAGUCCAUCGGAAAAUCCACCCGCUCAACGGGUGGGCGUCCGGUGGAAACUGCGUGGCUUGGGACCGGAAGGCGCGACGGGUACGUCCGGGGUAGGAGUGAAAUCCCGUAAUCCUGGACGGACCGCCGAUGGCGAAAGCACGUCGCGAGGACGGAUCCGACAGUGAGGGACGAAAGCUAGGGUCUCGAACCGGAUUAGAUACCCGGGUAGUCCUAGCCGUAAACAAUGUCUGUUAGGUGGUGGCUCCCACUACGAGUGGGUGCUGUGCCGUAGGGAAGCCCGCUAAACAGACCGCCUGGGAAGUACGUCCGCAAGGAUGAAACUUAAAGGAAUUGGCGGGGGAGCAC
rnacentral:rRNA from 1 species